rnacentral:rRNA from 1 species
UACAGAGGGUGCGAGCGUUUGUCCGGAAUCACUGGGCGUAAAGGGCGCGUAGGCGGCUUGCCAAGUCGGGGGGUGAAAUACUUCAGCUUAACUGGAGAAGUGCCUUCGAUACUGGCGGGCUUGAGGGAGGUAGGGGUCUUUGGAACUUCUGGUGGAGCGGUGAAAUGCGUUGAUAUCAGAAGGAACGCCGGUGGCGAAAGCGAAAGGACUGGACCUCUUCUGACGCUGAGGCGCGAAAGCUAGGGGGAGCAAACGGG